AUGCUAGCUCGGAAAGUCCUCUCCUCAGGAGCGCUCUCGCGAGCGACAAGAAGCAGACCCAUCAAGCCAUCGGAGCGCACCCUCAGCAUCCUCUCGUGCGCGAAACUGACCACCAGAGUGAACCCAGAAGUCUCUACUCGCCGACGCUACGCCGUCCCCGGACAAGGGCUUUCGAACAUCCGGCUCUUCAGCACUCCGCCUGAGGAAGGAGAGAUGUCACAUGCCGAGUUCAAAGAAUAUAUCGGGGGCCACUUCGCGCUCAUCGUAGACGUACGAGAACCUCACGAGUUGAAAGAGGAUGGGAGGAUUUACGGAACUGUCAAUAUACCUCUCGGCCAGCUAGAGGAUCAUUUGAAACUCGGUCCGAAGCUACUCGCAAGGAAGUACCAUUUAGCUAUAGACUUCGUGGAGGGGGGAGGCAACUUCAUAUUUCUGUGCAAGGCUGGCGUCCGAGCUGCUAAAGCCGUAGAGAUUGCAAGGAAGAACGGUUUCCCCAAAGCUAGAUUCUACAAAGGGAGUAUCCUCGACUGGAAGGCGAGAGGGGAGCCAAUAAUCAAGAACUAAGUGACCGUCUUGCGGAUAGGAACUCCGACUCCUUCCGGGAUGUGUUCGCACUUCUCACUUUCGAUAGGGAAAAAACUUGUACAAUAAAAUUUGAGGAAUAUAAAUAUU